rnacentral:lncRNA from 1 species
AAGACCCUUCCCCCUCACCUCUCAACAGGGAAGACCCUUCCCCCUCACCUCUCAACAGGGAAGACCAGUCCCUGUCACCUCUCAACAGGGAAGACCCUUCCCCCUCACCUCUCAACAGGGAAGACCCUUCCCCCUCACCUCUCAACAGGGAAGACCAUUCCCUGUCACAUCUCAACAGGGAAGACCCUUCACCUCAACUCAAAAUCCACUUGUCUGACUCUCUAGAGCAUUUCCCCUGGACAGCCAUGAAGAUGAAAAUUGGCCAAUCAUCUCGAUAAGGAUAAUAAAAUCAGAACGGAUGCACAGAUGAUUAAAGAUAUUGUGACCCUGAAUAACAAUUGUGGGAAAUACUUUGUUAUCAAGAACAAUUGUGAGCAUAUUGCCACAACAAUUCGCUAUGGUGAGGCUGUCUGCUUGCAGCAAGGUUCCAAUCCACUUACUGAAACUGUGGCCAGAUUCUGCUGUGCCACCAAUAGAGUUGCCGAAACACUCAAGAAGAAACAGAAGAGGGGGCGUGGCAGAAGAGGUCUUGGUCUCCUACAUGAUGAAACCGGUGACAACCAGGGUGCACCAGCUGCUUGAGAUCUUAACCUCUCAGAUGUUCUCUCUCUCUUCCAUCCUCUCUGUCUCUGUAUCAAGUGAGGUCUAAACCUCUCAGAUGUUCUCUCUCUCUUCCAUCCUCUCUGUAUGACAUGAGGUCUAAACCUCUCAGAUGUUCUCUCUCUCUUCCAUCCUCUCUGUCUCUGUAUGAAGUGAGUUCUAAACCUCUCAGAUGUUCUCUCUCUCUUCCAUCCUCUCUGUCUCUGUAUGAAGUGAGGUCUAAACCUCUCAGAUGUUCUCUCUCUCUUCCAUCCUCUCUG